UGAAGAAUACAGUAAAAGUGCUAAGGACAACAUGGAGGACAGCAGGGGUAUAGGGGAAGAGGUGUCUGGAAAUAUUUGGGCAAAACCCUGGAGGACUGAGGAUGCCAGCUAGGGUGUCCCGUGGACACUGGGGGAGCCUUUUAAGCCUUCAGAGCACAUGGGUAACAUGUUUCUCUUCCCUCUUAGGAAGUCCCCUCUGGCGGCCUUGCAGAACAGCUUGGAGGGGUAGGAACUGAGCAGGUAGCCCAGCAGGGAGGGAAACCAAUAAUCCAGAGCCUGAAGGAAACCAAGGAGCUCAAAGGCUUUGAGAGAGAUCUUGGAUGUGGCUGGAAGCUAUGGGAAAGGACAAAAGGUGGCUGUGUUGCCGGCAUCCCCUACCACACAUCUGUCACAACAGCAGAUACGGCACUCAGGAAAAGAGAGCCCCAAGGCUGGGGGCCAGCAGGGUGAAAACAUGAAGCACAGAAUUACCCUAUGAUCCAGAAAUUCCACGUCUGGGCAAUAGACCCAAAAGAACUGAAAGCAGAGACCCAAACAGGUACUUGCACACCCCUGUUCACAGCAGCGUUACUCACAAUAACCAACGCAAGCAUCCAUUGAUGCGUAAAGGGAUAAACAAAAUGGGGUAUAUACACACGGUGAAAUGUUACUCCGUCUUAAAAAGGAAUGAGAUUCUGAGACGCGCUACAACAUGGAUGAACCAGGAGGACACUGUGCUGACUGAGCCUAGCCAGUCGUAAGAGGACACAAACCGUAGGAUCCCACUUCUAUGAGCUACCUAGAGGAGUCAAAUUCAUAGGGACAGAAGGAAGAAUGGUGUUGGGGCGUCUGGGUGGCUCAGUUGGUUAAGCAUCCGACUUUGUCUCAGGUCGUGAUCUCACAGUUCACGGGUUCGAGCCCCACGCUGGGCUCUGUGCUGACAGCUUGGAGCCUGGAGCCUGCUUUGGAUUCUGUCUCCUUCUCUCUCUGCCCCUCCCCCAAUCAUGCUCUGACUCUCUCUCUCUC